CCUACGGGAGGCAGCAGUUAGGAAUAUUGGUCAAUGGACGAGAGUCUGAACCAGCCAAGUAGCGUGAAGGAUGACUGCCCUAUGGGUUGUAAACUUCUUUUAUAUGGGAAUAAAACGUUCCACGUGUGGGAUUUUGUAUGUACCAUAUGAAUAAGGAUCGGCUAACUCCGUGCCAGCAGCCGCGGUAAUACGGAGGAUCCGAGCGUUAUCCGGAUUUAUUGGGUUUAAAGGGAGCGUAGGUGGAUUGUUAAGUCAGUUGUGAAAGUUUGCGGCUCAACCGUAAAAUUGCAGUUGAAACUGGCAGUCUUGAGUACAGUAGAGGUGGGCGGAAUUCGUGGUGUAGCGGUGAAAUGCUUAGAUAUCACGAAGAACUCCGAUUGCGAAGGCAGUUCACUGGACUGCAACUGACACUGAGGCUCGAAAGUGUGGGUAUCAAACAGGAUUAGAUACCCUAGUAGUC
rnacentral:rRNA from 1 species